UUAGUCUCACAAAUCUAAAUCUGUAGCAAAGCAAUUUAUCCAGUUUCGUACAAAUAAGUUUUUUAGAGAGCAAAAUCAUUACCAUAUUGGGGAAGUGCAUUGAAAUGUGUAAAUGUGCGAUCUGACCUUGGUUAUGUAACCUGUAGUAGUCGACGAAUCUAGCUAUCUAUUAGUACCAAAACCUCUCCAAAACCAGUCCCCAAUACCUAUAUGCAGAAUGUAUUAGCAAUUUCGCGAUUUUUUGCACGUUUCGUGUGUGCCCGCGCGAUGACUUUCAAACGAAAAUUUUAAAUCUCACGCUAUUAUUUACGCAGUGAAUGCACGUGCUGUUUUUAGUGUUUUUAGUUUAUCGAUCUAUUUAUUUUUAUUACUGAGAAAAUACCAUCGAUAUUACGUCCUUGCUCUCCAACUACAUAGGCAAUCGAAAUUGUUGUCAGGGCGAACUAGGUUUUGCGAAAUUUUAAGCAUAUCCUGUUUGGCCGAGCUUCGUCCAUCCAACGCAUCUCUUGGUCUAACGUAACGUAAAAAAAUGGAAAGAGAUUGCAGUAUUCUCAAGAAAGAAAUGUGACAGUCGGCAUUUAAGAUCCAAUGGUAAAAUCCCUUGCAUUAUUAAUAUGGUCGACUGGUCUGUCUAGCGAACAAAAAUCAUCCCCAUACGAUCCCCAUGGAAGAAAUUUAUUAUGUGCUAUGAAUAUAAUUCGCUAUGAAUAUACAAAUGUCAUUGCGGAAUUAAGUACUACUACAGUACACAGUGUUUAAUUGUGCCUUUGUUUACAUCUCAUUGGGGUUUCAGAUUAUAAUUUGGAAGAUUGCUAAUCCCCUAUAAAAUGUUAACUUUUCUUAACUGCUAUUAAAUACUAUUAUAU